GAUGGACUUGGACAUGGAGCUGUCCUUGAUGCAGCCCUUGGUUCCAGAGCGGGGUGAGCCUGAGCUGGCGGUCAAGGGGUUAAAUUCUCCAAGCCCAGGACCCCACGCUCGGGGCCCCACUCCUGCUGGAUGUCCAGGCGGCCUUGGGAGGCCCAGCCCUGGGCCUGCCUGGGGCUUUAACCAUUUAUAGCACUCCUGAGAGCCGGACUGCCUCCUACUUGGGCCCGGAAGCCAGUCCCUCCCCCUAAGACCCCGCGCCUCUGAAGGGGCUUGGAACCAGUCCGCCGCUGCACAUCCUUCUUGGCUUCCUGGCGCCCCCUAUCGGGGGUGAGCGAAGCCCCCACUACUAAAUGGCCUCUCUCCACUACCCCGACUAUCCCUGCACAUAAACUCCGUUUUUUUUU
rnacentral:lncRNA from 1 species